rnacentral:rRNA from 1 species
UUAAAGAGUUCUAUAACUCCCAAACCCAUGUGAACAUACCUAACGUUGCCUCGGCAGGUCGCACCUACCUUGUAGCACCCUACCCUGUAGGGCCUACCCGGGAGGUGCGGGUAAGCCUGCCGGCGGCCCACCAAACUCUGUUUGAUAUUGAAUUCUGAACCUAUAACUAAAUAAGUUAAAACUUUCAACAACGGAUCUCUUGGUUCUGGCAUCGAUGAAGAACGCAGCGAAAUGCGAUAAGUAAUGUGAAUUGCAGAAUUCAGUGAAUCAUCGAAUCUUUGAACGCAUAUUGCGCCCAUUAGUAUUCUAGUGGGCAGGACCGUUCGAGCGUCAUUUCAACCCUUAAGCCUUCGUUGCUUAGUGUUGGGAGCCUACGGCAACGUAGCUCCUCAAAGUUAGUGGCGGAGUUGGUUCACACUCUAGACGUAGUAAUUUUUUAUCUCGCCUAUUAGUUGGACUAAUCCCCUGCCGUAAAACCCCCAAUUUAUCAAGGUUGACCUCGAAUCGGUUCAGACAAACUCGCUAAAUUGAAGCAUCUUAGUCAGCGAAGGAAAAGAAACCAACAGGGAUUGCCCUAGUAACGGCGAGUGAAG